rnacentral:rRNA from 1 species
AUGAAGAGCAAAGCAAAUGAUUAUAUUCUCCAGGCAAUAAGAAGCCACAUAUUUGCAGACUCUGAAAUUUAUAACAUUGCAGAUAUGCAUGUACUAGGAAUCAAUGGCACCAGAGUAACGAAGCGAAUUCCACAAAUAAUAAACUCGGUUCCUUCUACAGAAAAUAGUGAAAUUUACACUCCGUGUUUCAGUGAAAUCUACAUCCAGGAUAUAUGUUUCCACAUGACAAAAAUUGGCCGUGUUCCACUAUCUUUCGGUAUAAACUAUAAAGAGCAUGCACUCAAAAUACAAGCUAUCUGA